rnacentral:pre_miRNA from 7 species
AUCCUAGGUUUUUUGUUAUUCCAGAUGAAUCUGCUGUAAGACCCCCGAAGGGAGACCCUCACUCAAGCCUCGGGAUGUGGCGCGGACCCAAGAGAGACGAGGAGACUG